AUGCUCACCUCAGCAACAUAUACACUAAAAUUUGAAUGAUACAGAUUAUUAGCAUGGUCUCUACUCAAAGAUUACACUCAGAUACUGGGGGUAUUGGCCUACACCU
rnacentral:snRNA from 1 species